AGGAGGAAGCGGAGGCAGCGAGUAUGGAGCCCACAGAGUUCGCUCAUCAUCAUUUCCCACUUCUCUAUCGAUCUGUAGAGAGAGGUAGAUUAUUGAUAAUAGAUAGAGAAAUGGGUUUCCGCAGCUAAAGCUGUGGCCUGGAAAAUGGCUGCUGGCAUCGGAAACGGAAACCAAUGGAAGAAGAGGAGGCUAAAGCCGUUGAGGUUUAAGGGAAGGUUUUAGAUUGUCGUAUUUGUGCACACGUGCAUUU
rnacentral:misc_RNA from 1 species